rnacentral:rRNA from 1 species
UACGUAGGGUGCGAGCGUUAAUCGGAAUUACUGGGCGUAAAGCGUGCGCAGGCGGUUCGUUGUGUCGGCGGUGAAAGCCCCGGGCUUAACCUGGGAAUGGCCGUCGAAACUGGCGAACUGGAGUGUGGCAGAGGGGGGUGGAAUUCCGCGUGUAGCAGUGAAAUGCGUAGAGAUUCGGAGGAACACCGAUGGCGAAGGCAGCCCCCUGGGCUGACACUGACGCUCAGGCACGAAAGCGUGGGGAGCAAACAGG